GGAGACGUGGGUGAGUGGCUGAAACCAGCGGUUUGCUAAACCGCCGUAGGGGGAUUACUCCUACCGAGGGUUCGAAUCCCUCCGUCUCCGCCA
rnacentral:tRNA from 50 species